rnacentral:rRNA from 1 species
AUUGAACGCUGGCGGCAGGCCUAACACAUGCAAGUCGAACGAGUGGCGGACGGGUGAGUAAUGUCUGGGAAACUGGCUGAUGGAGGGGGAUAACUACGGGAAACUGUAGCUAAUACCGCAUACCAUCGGAUGAGCCCAGAUGGGAUUAGGUAGUUGGUGGGGUAACGGCUCACCAAGGCGACGAUCCCUAGCUGGUCUGAGAGGAUGACCAGCAACACUGGAACUGAGACACGGUCCAGACUCCUACGGGAGGCAGCAGUGGGGAAUAUUGCACAAUGGGCGCAAUCCUGAUGCAGCCAUGCCGCGUGUAUGAAGAAGGCCUUCGGGUUGUAAAGUACUUUCGGUGGGGAGGCGUUAACUGCAGAAGAAGCACCGGCUAACUCCGUGCCAGCAGCCGCGGUAAUUC